AAACCCUAUCGGCCAUUGGGGGGGCGUGGCCAGUGCAGAGUGGGCGUGGCCUCUGUCUCCCAUUGACUGCAGCAGGAGGGCGUGGUCGAGCCAAGCCACGCCCACACAGACAGAAAAAGCCGUGCUUCCAUUGGUUCCCAUCACAGGGGAGGGGGGCGGGGCUUUGCGGUGUGGGCGUGGCUUCAGCUCCUCAUAGCUCAUAUGGGGGGCGUGGCCAUGACAGAGUGGGCGUGGCUUGGGCGAUGUGGGCGUGGCUUUCAUAGGGGUGAACAGGGCCAUGUCCGUGUGGGCGUGGCUUUAACACGAGUGGGCGUGGCCUGGGCUAUUGUGGGCGUGGCUUGGGAAUCGUGGGCGUGGCUUGUGACCGCGUGGGCGUGGCCUUGGCUUUUGUGGGCGUGGUUUUACCGGGGGUUGGGCGUGGCCUGGACGGGGUGGGCGUGGCUUAAACCCUCGGCAGGAGGGAGCGCUGACAACGCAGCAGUUUUUUGGGUGCCCCCCGGCGUCGGAACCACAGCAGGGCCGCCAGCAGCCCCCCGGCCCCACCCAGCAACGCGAGGGGCGUGGCUACGGCUCCAGGCCCCGCCCCCUCCCCGCCCACUUCGAUCACGAUCACUUCCGUUUCCCCUCCCCCUCCCCCGGUUUCCGGUGGGGAUGAAGAAGGGGCGGGGCCUGGGCGGGGUGGUGGGCGGGGCUCCGGGCAGCCCAACCAAUCGCGGAGCAGGGAUUUGGGGUAACCCGGGGUGACGCGAAGCUGGCGGUUGUCGAACUGCCAAUAGCGGGAGCCCUUCACAAAGUACGUGUAGGCUGAGGGUCAUUAGGGGUCAUUAGGGGUCAUUGGGGUCACGAGGGGUCAUUUGG
rnacentral:lncRNA from 1 species